rnacentral:rRNA from 1 species
CGACCGGCGCACGGGUGAGUAACACGUAUGCAACCUGGCCGUCACAGGUGGAUAACCGGAAGAAAUUCCGACUAAUACAGCAUAACACUCCUGAGGGACAUCCCUUGGGAGUCAAAGGAGGCAACUCCGGUGACGGAUGGGCAUGCGGCGCAUUAGGUAGUUGGUAGGGUAACGGCCUACCAAGCCGACGAUGCGUAGGGGUUCUGAGAGGAAGGUCCCCCACAUUGGAACUGAGACACGGUCCAAACUCCUACGGGAGGCAGCAG